UGGGCUUCACAAUAGUCGAAUA
rnacentral:miRNA from 1 species